GUGGCUUUAUUUGUACAUGUUGCCAGAAAGUUCUUAGGGAAAAUUCACUCAUAGUUUUCAUACCAAAAAAGAAACUUUUGGUGAGCAGUUCUGGCUCCGGCUGUGGCCUUGUUUAUUAUUUAUGCUGUAACCAAUGCUUCCCUAAUGGAAGGGUAAUGCUUGCCUAGCUACAUAAAAUAAUGCCUCAGUUUUCUCUGGGGAAUUAAUAAUUUGCUCAUGUCACCCCAAAGCUCUCACACGCUUGUGCGGUAGUUUUCCAAACAGUGAGCAGUGCGCCCCAAUGGCAUGGCAGAGAGAAUUCCCAAGCUGAGAAUCAGAAGACCUGCAGUUUUGUCUGGCUUUGCUAAGUGACUUUUGGAUCUUGGACUUCUGUUUUCACAUCUACAGAAUUAUGCCAUUGAAUAACAUGUUCUCUAUGCUUUCUUCUAGCGAAAAACUCUCUUAAUUCUUUUUCUAGAAUCAUGAAAUUGAGUUGGCAGUCUUUGCUUGGUCAGAGCCUGAUGUUUCCUGAAUUUAGAACUUGGUUCCCCCGAGACCCUCUGGACUAAUUUAAAAUGAUUCAUCCGCGUGAGUCAUUGCCCUGCUGCCUUCAGGACAAGAUGUCUAUCUAUUGUCUUGCUGCUACCAUUUUUUACAAAUAACUCCAGCUCAGCAGCUGCAGACUCGAGACCCUGCACCUGGUGACAUCGGCCGGAAGACAUCAGCUGGCUCUCUGCAGACACACCUGGAGGGAGGGUUUGGGAGGAAGGGGGCUGGGGCCUCCGGUCUGACCACCUCUGAAACACCAUCCCAGGCUGUCUCUGAGGUUCAUGUGGUUUGGGUCAGAUUCUCAGUAGAAUGAGAGGCAUUUCAGGGACCUUCCAAGUCCUGAAAGAAGCCACUGGGCAAAUAAUUGGGUGUCACAUUCCUUUUAGAGCCAGAAGGAAACAACAUCCUAUCAGAAGGAAGGGGAAUUUCCUGCCAUGAAAAGGAAUCUUAGAGCAAAACCGAGUCAUGGUUUUGCCCGAAUUUUAAAAUCCUGUUGCUUAUAUGGAAGCAUAUGGGUCCUAACAAUUUCUCUUUCAAAAUCCUCAUAGUGAAUGACAUUAUGGCCAUGUUUCUCCCUCAAGUGUGUCUUAAAAAUGCAUCUAGAGUCUAACUAUAAAGGCAUCAUUCAGUUGUAAUAAUUAACAUCUUAUUUGCAUUCAGUACAAUUCUAAGUUCCACAUAAGUGUCUAAUCUGGUGAUGGGCGUUGUAUGAUUGCUAAGUAAAUAUUUGCCGUUGGUUAUAAAGAAUGAAUAAGAUGGGCACGGCCCUGUUUUCCUGUUGUCGUAGCCCAGGGUUGCCUUCUCUAUAAACUAUGUGUGACUGCAGCUGAAUCAGUGAAGCCAUCACCACCGGCCUCAUGCAUCACUGUCCUGUGGACCUAGAUCAGGCCACCUGGGAGAGCCACUUCUGUCCACCCAUCCCUGAGGGGAUGCUUCUCCGUCCCUUCUGCAUGCCUCCUGCACUCGGUGGCUGUGCUCUGGGAGAGUUACCCUGCGAUCUACACUUUCGGCUGCACCACCCUCUGCAGUGAAGAGUGUCUAAGGUUUCCCUACUGCACAGAACACUCGAGAUCCGUGGUGUGACAGGAAGAGCUUUCCAGCUGCGUGGCCUUGGGCCGUCUUACUCUCUGGGCCUCAGUUUCCUCAUUGGUAGCAUGGAGCACUGAAAGCUACGAACAGGAGCUGUGAGGGUGAAUGGAGGAUUCAUGCCAGAGCCUGGUGGGAUGCCCCUGCAGAGCAGAUGCUCAGGAAACCCUCCUGCCAGCUCCUGGGGAGCACGGGAGGCGCUGGCUCCUUAGUUCUCUAUGGAAGGACGGUUCUGCACCAGAUAUUAUUAUUAGAGUCUCUUAUUUGGAAUUCUGGACUUGUGUGCUCGACAGGGGCCUCAAGUCCCCAGUGUCGCUCAAUAGUGACAAACCCAAAUAAAAGAUCCUGGCAAAUGAUUAGCAGCCUUUCCUGCUGCUGUGCUCAUAAACGCUGUUGCUAUUUUUGGGCCAGCAUUGUUCAACCUGGAUUUAGUUCUCCUUUGCUGUCUAUUUUGGCUCUGACCUGCUCUGAAAGGGCAGGCUCCACGCCGGGUGUCACGCCCAAUGGCUUCUCCACGGUCUUUGUCCAAAUGGACUCAGUGAGGAUAUCACCAGCGGAAAAGUAAAAGAUGAGAGGACUUGAAAAAAAUAUCUUCCAUUCAGAAUCUUUUUAAAAAUAUACUUUCAAACAAAGAGG
rnacentral:lncRNA from 1 species